rnacentral:rRNA from 1 species
CGUAGGGGCGAGCGUUGUCCGAAGUUACUGGGCGUAAAGCGCGCGUAGGCGGCUUCUUAAGUCUGAGGUGAAAGGUUCAACGCUCAACGUGAACAGUGCCUUGGAUACUGGGAGGCUUGAGUAUGGGAGAGGGCAGUGGAAUGGCUGGUGUAGCGGUGAAAUGCGUAGAUAUCAGUCGGAACACCCAUGGCGAAGGCAGCUGCCUGGCCUAAUACUGACGCUGAGGUGCGAAAGCGUGGGGAGCGAACGGGAUUAGAUACCCCGGUAGUCCACGCCGUAAACGAUGAGUGCUAGGUGUCAGCGGUAUCGACCCCGCUGGUGCCGUCGCUAACGCAUUAAGCACUCCGCCUGGGGAGUACGGCCGCAAGGUUG